GGUGAGUAACACGUGGAUAACCUACCUAUAAGACUGGGAUAACUUCGGGAAACCGGAGCUAAUACCGGAUAACAUAUUGAACCGCAUGGUUCAAUAGUGAAAGGCGGCUUUGCUGUCACUUAUAGAUGGAUCCGCGCCGUAUUAGCUAGUUGGUAAGGUAACGGCUUACCAAGGCAACGAUACGUAGCCGACCUGAGAGGGUGAUCGGCCACACUGGAACUGAGACACGGUCCAGACUCCUACGGGAGGCAGCAGUAGGGAAUGUUCCGCAAUGGGCGAAAGCCUGACGGAGCAACGCCGCGUGAGUGAUGAAGGUGUUCGGAUCGUAAAACUCUGUUAUCAGGGAAGAACAAAUGUGUAAGUAACUCUGAACAUCUUGACGGUACCUGAUCAGAAAGCCACGGCUAACUACGUGCCAGCAGCCGAGGGAAUACGUAGGUGGCAAGCGUUAUCCGGAAUUAUUGGGCGUAAAGCGCGCGUAGGCGGUUUUUUAAGUCUGAUGUGAAAGCCCACGGCUCAACCGUGGAGGGUCAUUGGAAACUGGAAAACUUGAGUGCAGAAGAGGAAAGUGGAAUUCCAUGUGUAGCGGUGAAAUGCGCA
rnacentral:rRNA from 1 species